AUUGACCGCUGGCGGCAGGCCUAACACAUGCAAGUCGAGCGGAGCGGCGGACGGGUGAGUAAUGCCUAGGAAUCUGCCUGGUCGUGGGGGAUAACGUCCGGAACCGGGCGCUAAUACCGCAUACUAUCAGAUGAGCCAAGGUCGGAUGAGCUAUUGGGUGGGGUAAAGGCAUACCAAGGCGACGAUCCCUAACUGGUCUGAGAGGAUGUUCAGUCAAACGGGAACUGAGACACGGUACAGACUCCUACGGGAGGCAGCAGUGGGGAAUAUUGGACAAUGGGCGAAAGCCUGAGCCGGCCAUGCCGCGUAUGUGAAGAAGGUCUUCGGAUUGUAAAGCACUUUAAGUUGGGAGGCGUUACCAACAGAAUAAGCACCGGCUAACUUCGUGCCAGCAGCCGCGGUAAUUC
rnacentral:rRNA from 1 species